UCGGUUUUCAUUUCAUUGUUACCUUUUACAUACAGCAGUCACUUGUUUUUUUUACUGUGAGUUUAAAAAAAGGCUCCGGCGGCACGAAGUCGCUGGGGCCUUUUACAUGACCGCAUAUUCUUUCAGAUUUCUGCCCGAUGCCAGUAAUUGAGCGAAAAGGGGGCUCUCUGGUCCAAGAGAGCGCGUACGUGAGCCCGUGGAUCGCGCGGGUGGCACGCUUGCGGCACGACUCCACUACAUCUGCGCGCCGGCCGGGAUUCAGCCGGGAAGACUUACUGCCAGCCAAAACCUUUUAAAUCCUAGACUAUCCGCGAGCAACUCGCUCUGUAACAAACUACUCCCAAUGGAGGACAUCUCUGACGAUUACUAUUACUGGGCCCCUGCGUCCACUCCUGCGGCCCGCUGCAACACUCCAGCAACAGCGCGACAUGCCACCGCUACCUGUUCGGGCUGGGGCAUGUGGUGUCCGACAACGGUGGCGAGCUAGUCGGCAUCGUCACGUGGGCUUGCAGAAACAGUGCUCGGGUCACGGCUAGGAGAGACAAGUAUGUCGCCGCGUGUGGGGUGGCGUGGCGGAGCGCGACACUCGCUCUGCUGUAUUCUGGCCUGUGCAGAGAAUCUCUCUGUGUUAGUCUGGAUACAAAAGGAAGACCGGUGGCGUGAAUAUCUACCUAAAGCUGGCAAUUAACAGAUCGAUUCGAACAAGACCGAUCUACACUUUGUUAAACGUAUAACGUAGGUACUCGUAAUAUGUACAUUAAAAAAGUCAGAAAUGUCAUGCAGUAUGACAGCACGAAAUCAUCGGUACUCAGCAGUCAGCAGUGCUAUGUUGUCUUAAAUAAACGGAUUUAUUAUUAUUA